rnacentral:tmRNA from 1 species
UUUAUUGUAAAUAAAAAAUCAUAAUGUUAUAAUUAACAAGCUAAUAAGCUAUGGCAAUAAGUUUUUAUUAAGAAUAGAGGUAGUGGACCCGGGGGCAGUACUCGGCACCUCCACCAAGCUAUGAAGUGGUUGUAUCUUAUGGGGGUGACAAAGUUUCGACACACCUAAUAAAAUAAUAAAUUUUGCUCGAUAUGAUUCCGUCGUUUUAAGCAGUAUUUUAAAAAUUGUUUAAAUGGGUCAAAGAAAGAAAUGCAAAUGAUAACAUAAAGCAUUCUACAGGCAGUGGUUCCACAAGGCUUGCAUUAGCAGCUUAAAGGAAUUAACGUACUGAGCGGUAGUAGGGCUUACCGGGCAACAGAAAAGCCCUAAU